GCUGGCGUAGCUCAAUAGGCAGAGCAACUGACUUGUAAUCAGUAGGUUGGGGGUUCGAUUCCUCUCGCCAGCU
rnacentral:tRNA from 1 species